rnacentral:lncRNA from 1 species
GGAGUCGUAGCUUGGUAUUCGCUUCUAUGACUUGUUAAGUGGGUGAGCUAAUGGAACAAUUGUUUGUAAAUAGAUUUAUAAAUGCUUAGAAAUUAUUUUAAAACAUUUGAAACUCCUAUACAUUUGAAAUUAUUUUCUGGUACACCAUCCAUUUCAUAAAGGAUUUUAUCCGCUGAGCCUCCUUUCUUCUGUGAUUAACUGUUGGCCCAGUC